rnacentral:rRNA from 1 species
GGGGAAUAGCCUUCGAAAAGGAAAAUUACUACCGCAGAUUAUGUUUUGUUCUUGUGACUUCAACAUCUGUUGUUUUUCUUUUUUUCUUUGGGAUGGACCCGGGGUGCAUUAGCUUGUUGGGGAUGGAGCGGCCCCGGCCCGCAACGGUGCCUAACCGAACUGGAAGGGUGAUCGGGCUCGUUGUAAUUGAAACUCGGUCCAGACUCCUACUGCAGGCAGCGGUGGGGAAGAUUGCUCAUGGGCAGAAACCCUGACCCAGCAACGCCGCCUGAAUGAGGAAGGCCUUCGGCUUGUAAAGGUCUGUCUUCGGCGACGAUAAUGACGGUGCCAGAGCAGGAAGCCACGGCUACCUACAUGCCCGCGCCCGCGGUAAUACGAAGGUGGAAGUGGUUGGCCUUAUUUACUGUGCGUGGAGGAUGCGUAUGCGGACAUUUACGUCUAAUGUGAAAUACCCGAGCUUAACUUGCUUGCUGCUUUUGAAUCUGGCUGUCUAGAUCGAAAGAGAAGUAAAUGUAAUUGCUAUUGCAACGGUGACAUGCAUAUACAUAAAGAAUACCACCACUGGCGAUGGCGACUGACUGGAAUGUGACUGACACUGACGCAUGAGC